AUGGGAUGGAGCUGGAUCAUCGUCUUCCUGGUGACAGCAGCUUCAGGUGUCCACUCCCAGGUCCAGCUCAAGCAGUCUGGGCCUGAGCUGGUGGAGCCUGGGGCCUCAGUGAAGAUAUCCUGCAAGACUUCAGGCUACACCUUCACUUUUGGUUAUAUGCACUGGGUUGAGCAGAAGCCUGGGCAGGGACUAGAGUGGAUUGGAAGAAUUGAUCCUGAUAAUGGUAAUACUCAGUACAAUCAGAAGUUCCAGGGCAAGGCCACACUGACUAGAGACAAAUCCUCCAGCACUGUCUACAUGGAGCUCAGCAGCCUGACAUCUGAGGACUCUGCAGUCUAUUACUGUGCGAGAGACACAGUGUUGCAACCAAAUCCUGAGUGUGUCAGAAACCCUGGAGGAGCAGGAUGCUGAGAUGACACAGA